AGCCAGGGUCAAGACAUCUAGAAAGGGUGAGGAGAGGCUCUACCAGCAGGAAGCUCUUCCCACCCCAGUGUCUGAAGGGCAGCUGACAAGAGAAUCUCACUGGAUUUAUGGAGGAGAGACUACCUAAGGGGAGCAGUAAAAAUGAGAGUGCAGCUCUGCCCAGAUGGCCAUGUGAAGUUGGAGUGGGGCCAGGAUUCCCCCAGUUGGACUCUCACAUACCUGUGGACCUCAAGUGCUCCUUCAUAUGUGUUUUCAAUGAACUUCAUCCAAACCACAUCAAAUGGCUGUGUAUAACACUAAGGAAAUGUCAUAUUGUCUCCUAGUCCUCUACCAUGGUCUUUUACACACACUGAAGAUCAUGUGAAGAAAGAGAGAAGAUGGUCAUCUAUACACCAAGUUAAACGACCCUCAGAAGAAACCAACCCUAUGGACAACUUGAUCUUGAACUUCUAGCUUUCAGACCUGAGUCCCUGGAGUAUGCGCAUGCCUG
rnacentral:lncRNA from 1 species